GGCUCCGUGGCUUAUUGGUUACGGCUUCUGCCUCACAAGCAGAAGGUUCAGGGAUCAAAUCCCGGUCGGUACCU
rfam:Culex pipiens quinquefasciatus supercont3.256 genomic scaffold, whole genome shotgun sequence.